rfam:Clostridiales bacterium 52_15 Ley3_66761_scaffold_2121, whole genome shotgun sequence.
GAACGCCGUGUGCGGUGAAAGUCGCAUGCACGGUGUGGAGUGGGGGAAAAGCCCGAGAUUAUAUCAGAGGCUCACCUAUCACUAU